UACGGAGGGUGCGAGCGUUGUCCGGAAUCAUUGGGCGUAAAGGGCGCGUAGGCGGCUUGAUAAGGUUGCGGUGAAAGCCCGGGGCUCAACCCCGGGUCGGCCGUGGCAACUGUCGAGCUGGAGCACUGUAGAGGCAGGUGGAAUUCCGGGUGUAGCGGUGGAAUGCGUAGAGAUCCGGAAGAACACCGGUGGCGAAGGCGGCCUGCUGGGCAGUGGCUGACGCUGAGGCGCGACAGCGUGGGGAGCAAACAGG
rnacentral:rRNA from 1 species